rnacentral:rRNA from 1 species
UACGAAGGGGGCUAGCGUUGCUCGGAAUCACUGGGCGUAAAGGGUGCGUAGGCGGGUCUUUUAAGUCAGGGGUGAAAUCCUGGAGCUCAACUCCAGAACUGCCUUUGAUACUGAAGAUCUUGAGUUCGGGAGAGGUGAGUGGAACUGCGAGUGUAGAGGUGAAAUUCGUAGAUAUUAGGAAGAACACCAGUGGCGAAGGCGGCUCACUGGCCCGGAACUGACGCUGAGGUACGAAAGCGUGGGGAGCAAACAGG